AGGAACCAGGCGGGUGCAGGCACUACUCUUGGAGAAGUUGAGCAGGUGAACAGCUUCCUGUCCAGAUGUGCCCUGACCACAAAGUAUAUGGCCAAGUCAGUAAGAACUGACAUGCUUACUGUCCAUGCCAUGGGGAGGAAUGAACUAAAAAAGGACAGCCUCCACAUCUCCUUGUGUUCCCGAUUCAAAAAGACAGCAACCUCAGGUGUCAACUUUUACUACCCAAAGUUUGCUGCUGUCCUACAAGUUAUGCCUGGAGACAUAAAAUCUGUAGCAAAUCAGAAACUUUCUAACAGCACUACAGAGAGCAUGAUCUGGCCAUGGCAAGAACAGAACACAGAAAUUCUCACCAAAAAGCUUUUUGACCAAUGAAUGCUAGUCUCCUGACUGGCUGAAGAAAAGGACAUUCUUGUGAAGGAGAUGAUGCAGCACUGUCUAUACCUCAAAGACUCAGUGAAAACAGUCCAGUCACUGAUGGCUACCACACAGACAGGAAGCUUUAUCCGUCUACUGAAGAGAAGACUGCAGGAACUCCGACUAAAACAGCAGACUGUACUCAGCUCUUACAAAGCCAUUCUUGGUCAAAGUCCUUGGCUGGGGGAAGAGGAGGAAGGCAAAAUGGAUGAAGAAAUGGACUGGCACCACAAGAGCAGUUGUGAUGAUGAUGAUAAAGAUGAAGAUGAUGAUAACGAUGAUGAUGAUUAGUGCCUUGUUUAGGGAGCAUUAAAGAUUUCUGGACAAAAACUUUGCCAAAGGUUGAGCAAUCACAUCCUCAAGGAAGGGACCUUUAAGUAAUUAAUUAGAUGCAGACAGUUUUGUGCAACUUUCACUGUCUUCACCAGUUUCUUCAGUUUAA